rfam:Anolis carolinensis chromosome 5, whole genome shotgun sequence.
AUGACUGAUUUCUUCUGGUGUUCGGAGUCUAGUUCUCUUUCUAGCACCAUUUGAAAUCGGUUAU